AGCGAACGCUGGCGGCAGGCCUAACACAUGCAAGUCGAACGAACCCUUCGGGGUUAGUGGCGGACGGGUGAGUAACACGUGGGAACGUGCCCUUAGGUUCGGAACAACACAGGGAAACUUGUGCUAAUACCGGAUGUGCCCUUCGGGGGAAAGAUUUAUCGCCUUUGGAGCGGCCCGCGUCUGAUUAGCUAGUUGGUGAGGUAAAGGCUCACCAAGGCGACGAUCAGUAGCUGGUCUGAGAGGAUGACCAGCCACAUUGGGACUGAGACACGGCCCAAACUCCUACGGGAGGCAGCGGUGGGGAAUCUUGCGCAAUGGGCGAAAGCCUGACGCAGCCAUGCCGCGUGGAUGAUGAAGGUCUUAGGAUUGUAAAAUCCUUUCAGCGGGGACGAUAAUGACGGUACCCGCAGAAGAAGCCCCGGCUAACUUCGUGCCAGCCGCCGCGGUAAAAC
rnacentral:rRNA from 1 species